CCGUGGGACGAGAAGGAAGCUUUAAACUACUAAUUUACAUUAAUAAGAACAUUCGUUGAAAAUUCCAUCUCCCCCACUGGGAAACUCACACACAUUGUUGGUUUUACAAAUGUUUAAUAAAUAUGCCUUUAAGACCGAAACCUGGCCGCCGCCGUCUUUAAUAUUUACGCGGUCAAAGCAGAGGAUUUGUUGUGCUGGAAAAGGGUACAGGCGUCGCGGAAAGUUAUGCUCUACCAGUCACUUAUUGGUAGAGCUCGCAUGGAAACACGGCCCUUAAAGGAAGACACGCGAUGCGCGCGUGUCGGGUCACCUAAUCCUGUGGAACUCCAAGGGGAAAGAAGGGACAGGCCAAAAAGGCAAACAACGAGGACAAAUAAGGCUCUCGGGUCUAACUCCGGAUAAAUUCACAACUGAACAGGGAAGUAAACAUCAAUAUUAAUUUAAUUUUUCCUCAAUUUCACCCACUAUUGGGCCGG